GAUGAACGCUGGCGGCGUGCCUAAUACAUGCAAGUCGAGCGAACAGACGAGGAGCUUGCUCCUCUGACGUUAGCGGCGGACGGGUGAGUAACACGUGGAUAACCUACCUAUAAGAUUGGGAUAACUUCGGGAAACCGGAGCUAAUACCGGAUAAUAUAUUGAACCGCAUGGUUCAAUAGUGAAAGACGGUUUUGCUGUCACUUAUAGAUGGAUCCGCGCCGCAUUAGCUAGUUGGUAAGGUAACGGCUUACCAAGGCGACGAUGCGUAGCCGACCCGAGAGGGUGAUCGGCCACACUGGAACUGAGACACGGUCCAGACUCCUACGGGAGGCAGCAGUAGGGAAUCUUCCGCAAUGGGCGAAAGCCUGACGGAGCAACGCCGCGUGAGUGAUGAAGGUCUUCGGAUCGUAAAACUCUGUUAUUAGGGAAGAACAAAUGUGUAAGUAACUAUGCACGUCUUGACGGUACCUAAUCAGAAAGCCACGGCUAACUACGUG
rnacentral:rRNA from 1 species